AAAAAAACUCCUCUUUGUUAAUAGUAGAGUUGUGCACAAAUAAUAUAGAAUUAUGAAAUCUUGUAGUGAGCCGCCUAAGAAGUGGAGUAGUGAGCCACCGUCAAGUAGUGAGCCUAAGUUAAGUAGUGAGCCUAAGUUAAGUAGUGAGCCAGUGUUCCGUGAGGCCUGUUGUCCUGUCCCUGGGCGAAGAUAGCCUCUUUAUUCUCUGGGGCAAUUCUGAACAAAGACGGAUUUGAAUCUUCGGAGCAGUGAGAUAUGGAAUUGAGCUUUCUGAGCUAUACGAAAUAACAACCUGUGUCCGUGUUCCCAAAGGCACCACUCUCCCGUUAAUUGAUUUCUUCGAGGACAUAAAGUAUCCUUCCUACAUUACCAAUAUGAUUUCCUUCCCUCUCGAGUUGAACUCCUUCCUACAUUACCAAUAUGAUUUCCUUCCCUCUCCUCAUAAUCAAAUGAGAAAUAUAAUACAAAUAAGAAAGAUAAUCCAAAUGAGAAAUAAGGAAAGAGACCUGAGCUCAGAAUCUGUCUUUUAUUCGGUGUGAGGUCCGGAAUCCUUCAAUGCUCUUUGACUUGACUCUAUUUCCUCUAUAGGAGAGAGAUGAUCUGACAGCGUGAGAAGCUCGAGUCGGCCACAUAAGAAAAUGGAGAUAUUCGUCUAAAGUGGCAAAGAAUAAGGAAUUGGUCAUUUCAUUGCUGCUCUCUUCCCUUAUUUCAAAGAAGUGGUCAUUGCGGCUCCUUAUUGAUUUCUCCUGAACAAGAAAUCGGCCUUUUAGAAAAUAUCCGACUUAGCAUCUUGAACAAGGCAUCUAAGAAUGGGUAUUCAUCAAACAGCGCUUUUGAGCUUUCUUCAGGAUUAGGCCCGUUCGGCUCUAGUGUGGAUUCAUGUGCAGCCAAUUCUUCUGAAAUUCCUAACUAAACUAGCUCUUCUGAAAUUCCUAACUAAACUAGCUCUUCUGAAAUUCCUAACUGAACUAGCAAGGCUUUAUUGAAGAAAUAGUCAAUUGCCUCAAACAGGCUUAUCGAGCAGAUGCAAUCCAAUGAGUGAAAUCCCCAGCCCAGCCAGUCCUUCUUUAUCCAUUCCAUAGGAAAUGUGUUUCGAUGUAUUCUAAUGUCAUAUAUGAUAUAUCAGUCUUUAUCGAAGCAGAGCAAGCAGUAUAUAAGUCUUUAUCGAAGCUUUCAUUUUUGCCCAAUUACUGUCGUCGAAACGGAUUUCCUAACACUAUAGAGAGUGAGCGAAACGAAAAAGCAAUGCACACGAGAUAAUAGCAUCUGGUGGAGAGUAGAGCAUGCCUUAUUGAUGAAUGAGCAUCUGGUGGAGAGUAGAGCAUGCCUUAUUGAUGAAUGAUAGAGGCAGGCGCCUUUUGGCAAUGGGGGCCGUUCCCGAAAGUAUUUAUUGUAGAGAAUCCCCAUCGCUUCUCCUGACUCGAGGGUGAAAACGAGAAUGGAUUGAAUCACGAGGCCUGAGACGAAAGCAUUGGGCCAUCAUAUGGAUUUUGGGAACCAUCAUAUAGCAUUGGGGGUAGUAACAAUUAUAUGGAUUUUGGGAACCAUCAUAUAGCAUUGGGGGUAGUAAUUAGAAUAUAGAUUGGAUUAACCUAACUCAGGAACUCACUGGAAUAUAGAAUAAAGGCUGUUAGCGAGGAAUAAAGGCUGUUAGCGAGGAAUUCUUCAAUAAAUAAUAAUGUUUCCUCCGUUGCUUGUUCAGCAGAACUCCGUAAGCGCAACAUUAGGUCGGCUCGCGUUAGCACAACGUCUUGUCUUGCCCCGCUGCAUGUUGAUUUGUUUUCCUUACUUCAAGCUUAAGGAAUGGAAUAUCAGCUAUGGAGUGUUUCAAUUCCAAAGAUUGAGGUUACCCAGUGGCUCGAAUAAACCCCUUGAAAAGAAGGAAUCAUCUUCUCUCUUGUUGAACUCCUAGAAUAAUGGGACAGUAAUUGUAUAUCCGAACCGAAGACGCACUACACUAUUUCAACAAAGCAGGGUGAAUAUGCUUACAAAACAAGAUAUCAAAGAAAAAAGGAAGGGAUUCGGCCUGGAAUCGGAGAAUCUUUCCAGUAACAUAGAAUAUUGGAUUUCCAGUAACAUAGAAUAUUGGAUUUCAUUAUUUAUUGAUU
rnacentral:lncRNA from 1 species